GAGAGUAAAGGGGCAAAGAUGAAUCCAAGAUGUUAAAUCUACCUGACUCAGAGAACAGUAGUGAUCUCAGCAGAAAUGAGAGAAGUUAGAAGAAAGGGAAGUUUUAAAGGAGAAAAUAAUAAGUUCAUUUUUGGAUAUUGAAUUCAAGGUAUAGCUGGAACUUACAGGUGACACAAAGCAGACACAAUGAUUGACAGUGCCAAGAACCAUGAAGAUCUUAAUGAGAAGGUAAACAGUUUAUUUGAGUGUCUGGAGAGCAGAGUAGGAGGUGGCGAAUGAGACAAAUGCUCACCUUGGACUGGGCGAAAUAAGAAGAUAAGACAGCAGUU